rnacentral:rRNA from 1 species
AUUGAACGCUGGCGGCAUGCUUUACACAUGCAAGUCGAACGGUAACAGGCCGCAAGGUGCUGACGAGUGGCGAACGGGUGAGUAAUGCAUCGGAACGUGCCCAGUCGUGGGGGAUAACUGCUCGAAAGAGCAGCUAAUACCGCAUACGAUCUAUGGAUGAAAGCGGGGGACCGUAAGGCCUCGCGCGAUUGGAGCGGCCGAUGUCAGAUUAGGUAGUUGGUGGGGUAAAGGCUCACCAAGCAAAAGAACUGUAGCUGGUCUGAGAGGACGACCAGCCAGAAUGGGACUGAGACACGGCACAGACUCAUACGGGAGGAAGCAGUGGGGAAUUUUAGAAAAUGGGGGCAACCCUGAUCCAGCAAUGCCGCGUGCAGGAAGAAGGCCUUCGGGUUGUAAACUGCUUUUGUACGGAACGAAACGGUCUGGGUUAAUACCCUGGGCUAAUGACGGUACCGUAAGAAUAAGCACCGGCUAACUACGUGCCAGCCGCCGCCGUAACAC